UACAGAGGGGGCAAGCGUUGUUCGGAAUUACUGGGCGUAAAGGGCGCGUAGGCGGCCUGCUAAGUCGAACGUGAAAUCCCCGGGCUCAACCCGGGAACUGCGUCCGAUACUGGUAGGCUUGAAUCCGGGAGAGGGAUGUGGAAUUCCAGGUGUAGCGGUGAAAUGCGUAGAUAUCUGGAGGAACACCGGUGGCGAAGGCGGCAUCCUGGACCGGUAUUGACGCUGAGGCGCGAAAGCCAGGGGAGCAAACGGG
rnacentral:rRNA from 1 species